AUUUAUUUCGAAGUUGAUUGUUACUAUUUCUGUCCACUUUCUUUGGUUCUUUUAUCUUCUUGUUUGGGCUUUCCCUGCAAGGUAUAUGGGAACUUGCCAAUUUGUGCUGCUUCGAGUCCUUACUGAGCACACCGGCUGCUCUGUGUAAAUUAUAUAGUGUAAAUAGCUGCAGAGGUCCCCCAACCUUUGAUGCAUGUUGCACUUUUGUCCCUAACCUUCAAAAAGGAGAAUGUGUGUCCUCAACCAUUCAUUUAGUAGAACUUUGAUCCCUACCGGACAAUUUUGCGCUUAUUCUCGUUUAACAAACAAAUUUUUUUUUAAAUGACAAUUUUGUCCUAGAAAAUAAAAAUAAGAAUAGAAAAAAAAAACUUUAGAUCUUCUCCCAACCCACCAGUUCGCUGCAGCCAACCACUUCCAUUUUCACCACAAUAAAAUCCCGAAGCUCUGAAAAGUCAUUUUGUACCAUCUUAAAUUGAUCACUUUAUCCAUUAAAUUAUACUUCAAUACAUAGUUCAUAGGACUUCUCUGCUUUAAUAACCGUAUAUACGUUUGGCAAGUAUUUAUAACAUGUCUAUAAAUGCUUGCUAAAAGUCAAACCACUUUUAUUCACAUAUUUUGUGAGACCUACAAGUAUUAGCCACUUAUCCACAACUCAUUUGUAUUUGUUUAUAAACAUGACUAUUUAUAAACACUUGCCAAACAUAUACUAAGUUCCCAAUUUUGUUAUGGAAUGCCUUUUCCACUAGAAAUUGAAGAAAAUAAGGGCUUAGGAAAAAUAGAAGACUGAUAGGGUUAGUUUUGUGGCAAUCUUUGCAUUGUUGGGCAGUGUAAUGAUAAUGAGAGAAUAAAAGCUUCUCUAUAACAUCCCUAUUUUCUGUUUGAUUUCUGUUUUUGAAAGGUUUGGCGUUUUGAGAUGAUUUGGUAGGAAGGCAGGUGGUUGUUUGCAUUAGGUUAGGUGGGUGGGCGAGUCAAUUGGAGAAGAAGAUGAAUUUCUUUUUCUUUUUCUUUUUAUUUUCUUGAUUUUUAUUUAAAAGGCAAGGGUAAUUCAUCUUUAUUAUGAUAUUUCAGCUUGUUAACUGAAAAUAAGGGUAAAAUUGUCCAUUAGAGAUUAUAGUUCUACUAAAAUGAGAGGUUGGUGUUGCAAAUGCUCCAUUUUGAAGGUUGGGGACUUCUGGUACUAUUAACCCAAUAUAUAUAAAACACGAAUAAAGGAAGAAAAUGGAACAAUGAAUAGAAGAGAGUGUAAUGGUGAAAUUAAGUUUUAGUUCCCACUUUUUUUAAGUCUCUUUUAUUAUUAUUUUUAUUCCUUGCACUUUUAAACUUUCAAUGAUUUUGUCAAGUGGAUGAUGUAGUUAUGUAAAUGUUUGCCUAGGCUAUUGCCCAAGGCCAUCUAGGCAUUUUGAAACGCAUAAUGAAAGAAAAGAAAUAAAUAGCUAUUAUUAAAAUGUAUAUCUCGACUUAUAUAGAAUUGGGCAGAAAAUACCACCACUUAUUGAGGAAUAAAAUAUUUCUUUGGUAUUGAGUAAUCCGUUAUUACUACUUUUCUAAAAAGAUAGAAAAUUGUAAUAUCUUACUAAUUUGUUAUCUUUAUAUUCCAACAAUUAUAAGGUAACAUUUUACAAUGAGAUACCAAUUCCCUCCUAAGAAUCUCUGAUUCCAAAUUCUAAACAUUAGCUUAGGAACCUUCUUACUCUCCUGAAAUAUACUUUUCUUGGUUCUGUUUUAUGUACUACCUAUGUGGGAAAGAAAAGCUAUAUUAUUAUUUUGUGUAAUAUUUCUGUAGCUUGCUCUUUUUUUUCUUUCUUUCUUUUUUUUAACUGAUUCAGGUUGAUCAUUUGAAAGUAAAUGUAGAGUUCAAAUAAAUAAAAAUAUUUGCUCUUCAUUUUAGAUUUAAAUUUCAAAAUCUUCUGGUCCUCUUUUGAGAAUUCUCCCAUGCGUGAAAUUUGGGUAUUUUUCUCAUGUUGAAAUGCAUUUUGCAUAAAAUAGGGUCGUUCAUGUCUUUGCUGCUAAGAUAUAUCAAUAUAUAAUUGAGAUUGGAACUGGGUUCAGUAUUUUACCCCUUGUGGAAGUUUGCAUAUAAAAAGCAUGGGUAAACGGCAUAUUAAUGUUGUAUUACUGAACCAAUCUCAUUGUAGCUUAUAUGUUCACGAGAUAGUUCUUCCACGAUCACAAUGCUUGAUUAUUGUUUCUUCAGGUGGCAGAGAGGGCUUUAUUUUUAUGGAACAAUGAUCAUAUCGAGAACCUGAUCAAACAAAAUCGUAAAGUUAUCUUGCCGAUUAUCUUCUCUUCCUUGGAGAAGAAUGCAAGAAACCACUGGAAUCAGGCAGUGCAGAGCUUGACACUAAAUGUUCAAAAAAUCUUCUCUGACACUGAUCCCGAGCUCUUCGAGGAAUGUUUACUUAAGUACCAAGAAGAUGAAGCACAAGAAGAAGAAAUCAAAACAAAGCGUGAAGCCACUUGGAAGCAGUUAGAAGACACUGCUGCUAUGAAAGUGUCAAGUAACGAACCAGUGCUCGUGCUUCACAAGUUAAGCACAAACACAUUGUCUGGCUAGAAACGCUGGGACCUUUGUUUGGCAUGUUACUCUCUGGGCUUGCGAAUUUUGGUGCUGACCAAGAAUACAAAGCAUGGGAUUGGGGGUGGAAUUGUCUCAAUUGCUUGUAUUAUUGUGCUCCCUGUUUUGGCCCAUCAACCGAACAGGGUGAAGGUCACUGCUUCCAAACAUUUUCGGUUUUAGAGACUAUGGCUGUACAUAUAUAAAUGGGUGACAGAGAACUGGAAAGUCGAAGGUUUGCAUUGACUGUUACAUUGAGGGAAUUUGGUCCCGAUAUUGGCCUUUUUGUUGUUAGAACAGAGCAUGAUGAUGUUAAAAUUAGUAUAUUUUUUGUGUUUUGUUUCAAUAUUUUUGAACUGGGUUUCGUUUAUGUACUCUAAUCUGCAAUUAUAUAUGAUUAUAUUUAUCAUUGCGAUUUGUCAGAA